GUGAGCCACCGGGCCCAACUGCAAAAUAAACUUUCUAAAUUAACUGAGACCUGUCUCAAAUUUUUGGGGUUCACAUUUGGUAACCAUAAAGGGAUCUGAGUGGAGGUGCCCCUGACCUUUGACAAAUCUCCUAUCAGUGCUUGGUACCAGCAUGAGCUAACUUUAUGGCUCAAACUGACAGACAGGACUAGCUGGAUUUCCUAGGCCAACUAAGAAUCCCUAAGCCUAGCUGGGAAGGUGACCGCAUCCACCUUUAAACACGGGGCUUGCAACUUAGCUCACACCCAACCAAUCAGAGAGCUCACUAAAAUGCUAAUUAGGCAAAAACAGGAGGCAAAGAAAUAGCCAAUCAUCUAUUGCCUGAGAGCACAGUGGGAGGGACAAGGAUCGGGAUACAAACCCAGGCGUUCAAGCUGGCAACAGCAACCCUCUUUGGGUCCCCUCUCUUUGUGUGGGAGCUCUGUUUUCACUCUAUUUCACUCUAUUAAAUCUUGUAACUGCACUCUUCUGGUCCAUGUUUGUUAUGGCUCGAGCUGAGCUUUCGCUCGCCAUCCACCACUGCUGUUUGCCGCCAUCGCAGACCCGCCACCGCAGACCUGCCACUGCAGACCCACCACUGACUCCCAUCCCUCCGGAUCCAGCAGGGUGUCCGCUGUGCUCCUGAUCCAGCGAGGUGUCCAUUGCCACUCCCAAUCAGGCUAAAGGCUUGCCAUUGUUCCUGCACAGCUAAGUGCCUGGGUUCAUCCUAAUCAAGCUGAACACUAGUCACUGGGUUCCACGGUUCUCUUCCGUGACCCAUGUCUUCUAAUAGAGCUAUAACACUCACCGCAUGGCCCAAGAUUCCAUUCCUUGGAAUCCGUGAGGCCAAGAACCCCAGGUAAGAGAACACGAGGCUUGCCACCAUCUUGGAAGUGGCCUGCCACCAUUGUGGAAGUGGCCCACAACCAUCUUGGGAGCUCUGGAAGCAAGGACCCCCGGUAACAUUUUGGUGACCACGAAGGGACAUCCAAAGCGGUGAGUAAUAUUGGACCACUUUCGCUUGUUAUUCUGUCCUAUCCUUCCUUAGAAUUGGAGGAAAAUACUGGGCACCUGUCAGCCAGUUAAAAACGAUUAGCGUGGCCGCCGGACUUAAGACUCAGGUGUUACGCUAUCUGCGGAAGGGCUUUCUAACAACCCCCAACCCUUCUGGGUUGGGGACGUUGGUCUGCUUGGAGCCAGCUUCCACUUUCAAUUUUCUUGGGGAAUCCGAGGGCUGACUAGAGGCAGAAAGCUGUCGUCCAGAACUCCCGGCAUUAGCCUGUUGAGAUCAUGGCGCAGCCAGAAGUCUCUACUCAACAGUCGCCCAUGGGUGCGCCCCUACCUUUCCUUCUGACCCAUACCUCAUGGGUCCUGACCACGACUUUCUUGAAAGUGUAGCCCCAAAAUUCUCCUUACCUUUGAAUCUACUUCCUCUGAUCCCUGCCUCCUAGGUACUAAUGGUUCACACUUUCAUUUCCUCUAGCAAGUUGUAUCUCCAAAGGGAUCUAGGGAGGCUCUGCGUUGUGUCCUUAGGCACCUGGGCUGUAACCCAGGGAGUCUUAUCCCUGGUGUCCCUCCUGAUUCAGGUAUGCAGCUCUCGACAUGGGCAGUUAUGUGGGACCCGUUCCCCACUACCCUUGCCAGGGCCCCAAGUUUGUAAUGGCUGAGAGAGAGAGAGACGGAGAGAGAGGGAGAGACGGAGAGAGAGACAAAGACAGAGUCAAAGAGAAAAAGAAAGAAAAAGAUAGAAUAAAAAAAAAAAGUGUGCCCUAUUCCUUUAAAAGCCAGCGUAAAUUUAAAACCUGUAAUUGAUAAUUGAAGGUCUUCUCUAUGACUCUAUAAUACUCCAAUACCACUGUUGUCAAUGUAAAUAAGGGCGUAGCCCAAAAGCACUGAGGCCACUGGCAACCUGUAGCUUUCCUAUAAAAAAUCCUUAACCCAGUAACCCGCGGAUGGGCCAAAUGCAUUCAGUCGGUAGCGGCAACUGCUUUGCUAAAAGUAGAAAAGUAACUUUUAGAGGAAACCUUCUUGUGAGCACACCUCACCAGUUACAUUAUUCUAAGUUAAAAAAAAAGCAAAAAGGUAGCUUACUAAAUCAAAAAUCUUAAAGUAUGGGGCUAUUAUGUUAGAAAAGGGUAAUGUAACUCCAACCACUGAUAAUUCACUUAACCCAGCAGAUUUCCUAACAAAGGAUUUAAAUCUUAAUUACCAUACAAAGGUCCGACCAGACCUAGGAGGAACUCCCUUCAGGACAGGACGAUAGAUGGUUCCUCCCAGGUGAUUGAGGGAAAAAACCACAAUAGGUAUUCAGUAAUUAAUACAGAGACUCUGUGGAAGCAGAGUUAGAAAAAUUGCCUAAUAAUUGGUCUCCUCAAACGUGCGAGCUGUUUGCACUCAGCCAAGCCCAUACUUACAUAAUCAAAAGACUAUUUCAAUCCUGACUCAAAAGGUUCGCUACACCUCUCUGAAACGAAUUUGCAUAAGAGUGUUGUUUAUGGGAAUGCAUCUUGAUGGGGCAGCUGGGUUGUUAUGAAAUACCCAGGAACCCAGCCCAGCUCUAGGACUCACCCCUGAGCGCAAAAGCAAUGUCGGGCACGCUGGUAAAGGACCACUAGAAUCCAGCAGCCCAGACCCCUUUCUUUGUGGUCAAGAGAGGUGGAAAAAUAGGUGCAGGACUGCUACAUUGGUGAGCGUAACUAAUCCGAUAAGCAGAGGUCCAUGGGUGGUUACGCACCCUGGAAAAGAAUAAGCAUUAGGCCCUUAGAGGAUGCUUUAGGACUAAUGCUCAUCGGAAAAUGACUAGGGGUGCUGGCAUCCCUAUGUUCUUUUUUCAGAUCGGAAACGUUCCCCACACCCCAAGGCAAAAACGCCCUUAAGAUGUAUUCUGGAGAAUAAGGACCAAUUUGACCCUCAGACGCUAAGAAAGAAAUGACUUAUAUUCUUCUGCAGUACUGCCUGGCCAUGAUAUCCUCUUCAAGGGGGAGAAACCUGGCCUCUUGAGGGAAGUAUAAAUUAUAACACCAUCUUACAGCUUGACCUCUUCUGUAGAAAGGAGGGCAAAUGGAGUGAAGUGCCAUAUGUGCAAACUUCCUUUUCAUUAAGAGACAACUCGCAAUUAUGUAAAAAGUGUGGUUUAUGCCCUACAGGAAGCCCUCAGAGUCUGCCUCCCUAUCUCAGCAUCCCCCCGACUCCUUCUGCAACUAAUAAGGGACCCCCCUUUUACCCAAAGGUCCAAAGAAGAUAGACAAAGGGAUAAACAAUGAACCAAACAGUGCCAAUAUUCCCCGAUUAUGCCCCCUCCAAGCAAUGUGAGGAGCAGAAUUCGGCCCAGCCAGAGUGCAUGUACCUUUUUCUCUCUCAGACUUAAAGCAAAUUAAAAUAGACCUAGGUAAAUUCUCAGAUAACCCUGAUGGCUAUACUGAAGUUUUAUAAGGGUUAGGACAAUCUUUUGAUCUGAUGUGGAGAGAUAUAAUGUUACUGCUAAAUCAGACACUAACCCCAAAUGAGAGAAGUGUCGCCAUAACUGCAGCCCGAAGAGUUUGGUGAUCUCUGGUAUCUCAGUCAGGUCAAUGAUAGGAUGACAACAGAGGAAAGAGAACAAUUCCCCACAGGCCAGCAGGCAGUUCCCAGUGUAGACCCUCAUUGGGACACAGAAUCAGAACAUGGAAAUUGGUGCCGCAGACAUUUGCUAACUUGUGUGCUAGGACUAAGGAAAACUAGGAAGAAGCCUAUGAAUUAUGCAAUGAUGUCCACUAUAACACAGGGAAAGGAAGAAAAUCCUACUGCCUUUCUGGUGAGACUAAGGGAGGCAUUGAGGAAGCAUACCUCUCUGUCACCUGACUCUAUUGAAGGCCAACUAAUCUUAAAGGAUAAGUUUAUCACUCAGUCAACUGCAGACAUUAGAAAAAAACUUCAAAAGUCCGCCUUAGGCCCAGAGCAAAACUUAGACCCUAUUGAACUUGGCAACCUCGGUUUUUUAUAAUACAGAUCAGGAGAAGCAGGCGGAAUGGGACAAACGGGAUAAAAAAAAAGGCCACUGCUUUAGUCAUGGCCCUCAGGCAAGCGGACUUUGGAGUCUCUGGAAAAGGGAAAAGCUGGGCAAAUCGAAUGCCUAAUAUGGCUUGCUUCCAGUGUGGUCUACAAGGACACUUUAAAAAAGAUUGUCCAAGUAGAAGUAAGCUGCCCCCUCGUCCAUGCCCCUUAUGUCAAGGGAAUCACUGGAAGGCCCAUUGCCCCAGGGGACGAAGGUCCUCUGAGUCAGAAGCCACUAACCAGAUGAUCCAGCAGCAGGACUGAGGGUGCCCGGGGCAAGCACCAGCCCAUGCCAUCACCCUCACAGGGCCCCGGGUAUGCUUGAACAUUGAAGGCCAGGAGGUUAACUGUCUCCUGGACACUGGCAUGGCCUUCUCAGUCUUACUCUCCUGUCCCAGACAACUGUCCUCCAGAUCUGUCACUAUCCGAGGGGUCCUAGGACAGCCACUAAGUUGUGACUGGGGAACUUUACUCUUUUCACAUGCUUUUCUAAUUAUGCCUGAAAGCCCCACUCCCUUGUUAGGGGGAGACAUUCUAGCAAAAGCAGGGGCCAUUAUAUAUCUGAACAUAGGAGAAGGAACACCUGUUUGUUUUCCCCUGCUUGAGGAAGGAAUUAAUCCUGACGUCUGGGCAACAGAAGGACAAUAUGGAUGAGCAAAGAAUGCCUGUCCUAUUCAAGUUAAAUUAAAGGAUUCUACCUCCUUUCCCUACCAAAGGCAGUACCCUUAGACCUGAGGCCCAACAAGGACUCCAAAAGAUUGUUAAGGACUUAAAAGCCCAAGGCCUAGUAAAACCAUGCAAUAGCCCCUGCAAUACUCCAGUUUUAGGAGUACAGAAACCUAAUGGACAGUGGAGGUUAGUGCAAGAUCUCAGGAUUAUCAAUGAGGCUGUUCUUCCUCUAUACCCUGCUAUACCUAACCCUUGUACUCUGCUUUCCCAAAAACCACAGAAAGCAGAGUGGUUUACAGUCCUGGACCUUAAGGAUGCCUUUUUCUGCAUCCCUGUACACCCUGACUCUCAAUUCUUGUUUGCCUUUGAAGAUCCUUUGAACCCAAUGUCUCAACUCACCUGGACUGUUUUACCCCAAGGGUUCAAGCAUAGCGCCCAUCUAUUUGGCCAGGCAUUAGCCCAAGACUUGAGCCAAUUCUCAUACCUGGACACUCUUGUCCUUCAGUACGGGGAUGAUUUAAUUUUAGCCACCCGAUCAGAAACCUGGUGCCAUCAAGCCACCCAAGCACUCUUAAAUUUCCUUGCUACCUGUGGCUACAAGGUUUCCAAACAAAAUGCUCAGCUCUGCUCACAGCAGGUUAAAAACUUAGGGCUAAAAUUAUCCAAAGGCACAAGGGCCCUCAGUGAGGAACGUAUCCAGCCUAUACUGGCUUAUCCUCAUCCCAAAACCCUAAAGCAACUAAGAGGGUUCCUUGGCAUAACAAGCUUCUGCCGAAUAUGGAUUCCCAGGUACAGCGAAAUAGUCAGGCCAUUAUACACACUAAGGAAACUCAGAAAGCCAAUACCCAUUUAGUAAGAUGGACACCUGAAGCAGAAGUGGCUUUUCAGGCCCUAAAGAAGGCCCUAACCCAAGCCCCAGUGGUAAGCUUGCCAAUGGGGCAAGACUUUUCUUUAUAUGUCGCAAAAGAAACAGGAAUAGCUCUAGGAGUCCUUAUACAGGUCCGAGGGACCAGCUUGCAACCUGUGGCAUACCUGAGUAAGGAAAUUGAUGUACUGGCAAAGGGUUGGCCUCAUUGUUUACGGGUAGUGGCAACAGUAGCAGUCUUAGUAUCUGAAGCAGUUAAAGUAAUACAGGGAAGAGAUCUUACUGUGUGAACAUCUCAUGAUGUGAAUGGCAUACUCACUGCUAAAGGAGACUUGUGGCUGUCAGACAACCGUUUACUUAAAUAUCAGGCUCUAUUACUUGAUGGGCCAGUGGUGUGACUGCGCACUUGUGCAACUCUUAACACAGCCACAUUUCUUCCAGACAAUGAAGAAAAGAUAGAACAUAAAUGCCAACAUGUGAUUGCUCAAACCUAAUGCUGCUCAAGGGGACCUUUUAGGGGUUCCCUUGACUGAUCCCAACCUCAACUUGUAUACUGAUGGAAGUUCCUUUGCAGAAAAAGGACUUUGAAAAGCGGGGUAUGCAGUGGUCAGUGAUAAUGGAAUACUUGAAACUAAUCCCCUCACUCCAGGAACUAGUGCUCAGCAUGCAGAACUAAUAGCCCUCACUCGGGCACUAGAAUUAGGAGAAGGGAAAAGGGUAAAUAUAUAUACAGACUCUAAGUACGCUUACCUAGUCCUCCAUGCCCAUGCAGCAAUAUGGAGAGAGGGGAAUUCCUAACUUCCGAGGGAACACCUAUCAAACAUCAGGAAGCCAUUAGGAGAUUACUAUUGGCUGUACAGAAACCUAAAGAGGUGGCAGUCUUACACUGCCAGAGUCACCAGAAAGGAAAGGGAAACAGAAAGGAACUGCCAAGCGGAUAUUGAAGCCAAAAGAGCGGCAAGGCAGGACCCUCUAUUAGAAAUGCUUAUAGAAGGACCCCCAGUCCUUCUAUAAUUGUCCCUGUUUGUAGAUGACAUGAUUGUAUAUUUAGAAAACCCCAUCAUCUCAGCCCAAAAUCUCCUUAAGCGGAUAAGCAACUUCAGCAAAGUCUCAGGAUACAAAAUCAAUGUGCAAAAAUCACAAGCAUUCCUAUACACCAAUAACAGACAAACAGCCAAAUCAUGAGUGAACUCCCAUUCACAAUUGCUUCAAAGAGAAUAAAAUACCUAGGAAUCCAACUUACAAGGGAUGUGAAGGACCUCUUCAAGGAGAACUACAAACCACUGCUCAACGAAAUAAAAGAGGACACAAACAAAUGGAAGAACAUUCCAUGCUCAUGGAUAGGAAGAAUCAAUAUCGUGAAAAUGGCCAUACUGCCCAAGGUAAUUUAUAGAUUCAAUGCCAUCCCCAUCAAGCUACCAAUGACUUUCUUCACAGAAUUGGAAAAAACUACUUUAAAGUUCAUAUGGAACCAAAAAAGAGCCUGCAUUGCCAAGACAAUCCUAAGCCAAAAGAACAAAGCUGGAGAGGCAUCACGCUACCUGACUUCAAACUAUACUACAAGGCUACAGUAACCAAAACAGCAUGGUACUGGUACCAAAACAGAGAUAUAGACCAAUGGAACAGAACAGAGCCCUCAGAAAUAAUACCACACAUCUACAACCAUCUCAUCUUUGACAAACCUGACAAAAACAAGAAAUGGGGAAAGGAUUCCCUUUUAAUAAAUGGUGCUGGGAAAACAGGUUAGCCAUAUGUAGAAAGCUGAAACUGGAUCCCUUCCUUACACCUUACACAAAACUUAAUUCAAGAUGGAUUAAAGACUUAAAUGUUAGGCUUAAAACCAUAAAAACCCUAGAAGAAAACCUAGACAAUACCAUUCAGGGCAUAGGCAAAGACUUCAUGUCUAAAACACCAAAAGCAAUGGCAACAAAAGCCAAAAUUGACAAAUGGGAGCUAAUUAAACUAAAGAGCUUCUGCACAGCAAAAGAAACUACCAUUAGAGUGAACAGGCAACCUACAGGAUGGGAGAAAAUUUUUACAAUCUACCCAACUGACAAAGGGCUAAUAUCCAGAAUCUACAAAGAACUUAAACAAAUUUACAAGAAAAAAUCAAACAACCCCAUCGAAAAGUGGGCAAAGGAUAUGAACAGACACUUCUCAAAAUAAGACAUUUAUGCAGCCAACAGAUACAUGAAAAAAUGCUCUUCAUCACUGGCCAUCAGAGAAAUGCAAAUCAAAACCACAAUGAGAUACCAUCUCACACCAGUUAGAAUGGUGAUCAUUAAAAAGUCAGGAAACAACAGGUGCUGGACAGGAUGUGGAGAAAUAGGAACACUUUUACACUGUUGGUGGGACUGUAAACUAGUUCAACCAUUGUAGAAGACACUGGCAAUUCCUCAAGGAUCUACACCUAGAAAUACCAUUUGACCCAGCCAUCCCAUUACUGGGUAUAUACCCAAAGGAUUAUAAAUCAUGCUGCUGUAAAGACACAUGCACAUGUAUGUUUACUGCAGCACUAUUCACCAUAGCAAAGACUUGGAACCAACACAAAUGUCCAUGAAUGAUAGACUGGAAUAAGAAAAUGUGGCACAUAUAUACCAUGGAAUACUAUGCAGCCAUAAAAAAGGAUGAGUUCAUGUCCUUUGUAGGGACACGGAUGAAGCUGGAAACCAUCAUUCUCAGCAAACUAUUUCAAGGAAAGAAAACCAAACACCACAUGUUCUCACUCAUAGAUGGGAACUGAACAAUGAGAACACUUGGACACAGGGUGGGGAACAUCACACACCGGGGCCUGUCGUGGGGUGGGGGGAGGGGGGAGGGAUAGCAUUAGGAGAUAUACCUAAUGUAAAUGAUGAGUUAAUGGGUGCAGCACACCAACAUGGCACAUGUAUACAUAUGUAACAAACCUGCACGUUGCACACAUGUACCCUAGAACUUAAAGUAUAAUAAGAAAAUAAAAAAACAGUUGAACUCUAGGGCUGGGUGCACUGACUCAUGCCUGUAAUCCCAGCAUUUUGGGAGGCCAAGGCAGUCAGAUCACUUGAGGUCAGGAGUUUGAGACUAGCUUGGCCAACAUGGUGAAACCCUGUCUCUACUAAAUAUACAAAAAAUGAAAAUUAGCCAGGCGUGGUGGCAGGCGCCUGUAAUCCCACCUACUCAGGAGGCUGACGCAGGAGAAUAACUUGAACACAGGAAGCAGACGCUGCACUCAGCUGAAAUCACGCAACUGCACUCCAGCCUGGGUGACAGAAUGAGACUCUAUCUCAAAAAAACAAAAAAACAAACAAAACCCCCCAAAAACGGUGAACAAGUUUUGUCUAAUUCAAAGCUUAUUUAGGCCAGGGGCAGCGGCUCAUGCCUGCAAUCCCAGCACUUUGGGAGGCCGUGGCAUGCAGAUCACUUGAAGUCAGUUCAAGACCAGCUUGAUCAACAUGGUGAAACCCUGUCCCUACUAUAAAUAUAAAAUUAGUUGGGCAUUGUGGUGCACGUGUAAUCCCAGCGACUCGAGAGGCUGAGGCAGGAGAAUCACUUGAACCCAGGAGGUGGAGGUUGCAGUGAGCCAAGAUCGGGCCAUUGCCUUCCAGCCUGGGUGCCAGAGCAAGACUCUGUCUCAGAUAAAAAACAAACAAACAAAAAAAACCCCACAAAACUUAUUUAAAGGUUAUGUAUACAACAAGGUAAAGGAAUCAGGAAAUAAGAGAGAUGUUGUAAAGGAAGUUAUAAAACAAAUUUUUUUUGUAUGUGGUAAGAAAGCUUAGAAAUAAUUUUACAUGAGAAAGAAUACUGUAUGGUAAAUUUAGUCCUAAGAUAAAAGUUCAAGCAUGUCAUGAAUGGUCUGUGUAUGUCACAAUAAGAGGAUUUGUUUUAAAAAAAUUGUAUAUGAUCAUGUUUACAAUUAAAAGGAAAUUAUAAUGCUCUUUCUAGAGACUGGGCUUCAUGUUAAAAAAGACACAUAUACACGAAAUUAUUGGUUAGAAAAAUAAACUUUUCUUAAGGGGUUAACUUACUCUUAAUAAAUUAUAAGAGAAUUUGCCUACGAAUGGUGGCUUCUGCCUGUAAUCCCAGCACUUUGGGAGGCCAAGACAGGUGGAUCACUUGAGGUCAGGAGUUGUAGACUAGCCCGGCCAACGUAGUGACACCUCGUCUCUAACAAAAAUACAAAAAUUAGCCAGGCCUGGUGGCAUGUGCCUGUAGUCCCAGCUACUUGGCAGGCUGAGGCACAAGAAUUGCUUGAACCCAAGAGGCAGAGGCUGCAGUGAGCCAAGAUUGCACCAGUGCACUCCAAACUGGGCAACAGUGCGAGACUCUAUUUCAAAAAAAAAAUUAUAAGAGAAUUUAAUUUUUUUUUAAAACUGAAAGUUCAAUUUUUAUUGCAUCUUGCCAUUUUUUUUCAGCUUUCUCUCCCCUUUAAAAAGGCACACUGUCUUAAAGGUCUAAAGGAAGUGUUUUCUUCCAACAUCAUGUUCUGUGCAUUGCAGAAGGUCUUUUCUUUUGCUUUUUGGUAACUGACCUAACAGAGUUUACAUUUUGUUGAAAUAAUUCCUAUGUUUAGGAAAAAACUGAGAUUAAAAAAAGAUUUUUUAAUUAACAUGAUUACAACUGGGUAUUUUCCUGUAUGUGCUUUUAAAGUCCUUGUGACCUUAGGUUACAGGGCUUUGACUCCUGGGUCUAAAAAGGACACCAAGUCCUACUAAAUCUUAAACACUGACAGCAAUUGAAGCUGUCAUCUUCAGGCCCCGUAGAAGACGCCAAUCAAAAUAAACUGCAUUCCUGAGAUACACGGCCAGAAAUUAAAGGCAUUCAACUCCUCAAGGCCCAGAGACUAUCGAAGAAGAGGUGGGCAGGUAAGACUGUAAGGUCCAAAUUUGAAAGAUAAAAUAAGUUCAGUUUCUCUAUAAAUUAAUGAUUAACGUCAAAGGCACAAUGAUGCAAGAUCAGCUUAUGGGCCCCUGUAAUCAGAUUAACAAGGUUUUCUUGACACAUUAACUGACUCCUUAAUAAAGGUUAUAAAGGCUUAUGGAAGUUAUAUCUUUUGUUUUCUUUUCUUUUUUUGAGAUGGAGUCUCGCCCUGUCACCCAGGCUGGAACUGCAGUGGCUCAAUCUCAGCUCACUGUAACCUCCGCCUCCUGGCUUCAAGCGAUUCUCCUGCCUCAGCCUCCCGAGUAGCUGGGACUACAGACGCGUGCCACCACACUCAGCUAAUUUUUGUAUUUUUAGUAGAGAAGGGGUUUCACCAUGUUGGCCAGGAUGGUCUUGAUCUCCUGACCUCCUGAUCUGCCCACCUCGGCCUCCCAAAGUGCUGGGAUUAUAGGCGUGAGCCACCACGCCCAGUUAGAAAUUAUAUCUUAUGGUCAAGUUUAAAAUUUUAUAGAUUGUUUAUAAAAUUUUGAAAACAAAUUUAAUUAGCUUCAUGCUGUUUUUAUUAGGGCUUAUUGUUUGGAAAGUUAAGUCCCCUCUCUCAAAGAAUGAAGGUUUUCACCUUUUUAUGAAAUCCUUGAGUUAUCACUUUGGUUAAAUGAAUGAUUUAUUUUAUAAUGACCUGUGAUCCUAUUUUUGUGAUAUCAGGUGUUUUAAACAUUUGAUAUUUGACAAACUUUCCAAAAUCAAAUUAUAAAUUAUGUCUUUUUCUGACCUAAUUAGUCCUUUAAGAUAUUAGAUUCCCUGAAGUCCAAAAAUGGCAUAAUUUGGCUUAUUUGGUACAAAAAUUACACAGGAAGCAUUGUCAAAUAUGCAACAGUGUUUGGCUUUCUUUGAGAUGUAUUUGUAUAAAUAUGUUAUUGGUAUGUGUUCCAAAAUUAUGGGAAAUUCCUGUAAUUCUGAUAUGACCUAGUGUACAUUAUCAGUAAUAAUCAUAAUUGUUACGUUAAAAUUAUUGUGUGCUACAGAGGAGAGGUAUCAAAUUUCCUUGUCAAUUGUGUCUUUGCCUAUGGCUGCCCUAAAACUUUUAGUCAUCCACGCACAAUUGUUGUGUUGUUUUGGUCCUCUUUAGAAAGUGUUUUUUUUUGUUGUUGCUGUUGUUGUUUUUUGAGAUUCAUUAUUUAUUCUUGAUAAUGUUUUCUUUGUUAAAUUUGUUUUUUUAAAUUAUACUUUAAGUUCUAGGGUACAUGUGCACAACGUGCAGUUUUGUUACAUAUGUAUACAUGUGCCAUGUUGGUUUGCUGCACCCAUUAAUUCGUCAUUUACAUUAGGUAUUUCUCCUAGUGCUAUCCCUCCCCCAUCCCCCCACCCCACGACAGGCCCCAGUGUGUGAUGUUCCCUGCCCUGUGUCCAAAUGUUCUCAUUGUUCAAUUCCCAACUAUGAGUGAGAACAUGCGGUAUUUGGUUUUCUGUCCUUGUGAUAGUUUGCUGAGAAUGAUGGUUUCCAGCUUCAUCCAUGUCCCUACAAAGGACAUGAACUCAUCCUUUUUUAUGGCUGCAUAGUAUUCCAUCGUGUAUAUGUGUCAUUUUUUCUUAAUCCAGUCUAUCAUUGAUGGACAUUUGGGUUGGUUCCAAGUCUUUGCUAUGGUGAAUAGUGCUGCAAUAAACAUACAUGUGCAUGUGUCUUUAUCGUAGCAUGAUUUAUAAUCCUUUGGGUAUAUACCCAGUAAUGGGAUGGCUGGGUCAAAUGGUAUUUCUAGUUCUAGAUCCUUGAGGAAUCACCACAGUGUCUUCCACAAUGGUUGACCUAGUUUACACUCCCACCAACAGUGUAAAAACGUAACUAUUCCUCCACAUCCUCUCCAGCACCUGUUGUUUCCUCUUGAAUGCAGGUCUCCAUUAACUUUGGAGAUUGUUACAUGAGAAUAGAGGAAAAACUUUCAGAACUCAUGGAGAGCUAAAAUGCUCAUGAAUAUCAAGCAGAAUAGGAAUUAACUAAGGGGACUGAACUAAUCUUUUUGACUUUUUGCUUAAACAUUGCUGAUCUUUUGCUUUGUUUUUCAGAGCCUUGAAACUUUUCUUUUGAGCUAUUGACAGCUUUUAACAAUUUAGUAUACUCCAAUCAACAAAAUUUGGAGCAUAUUUGUUUCUCUCUACCUGAUUUCUCCAGAAUUUGUAAACUAUUUGAGUCACUGAAAACAGCUGUGCUUUUGUAAAGCCCUGCAAACUGAAGCUAGACAACUUAAACUUCAGAAGAAAAUAACAGCAACCUAUUUACACGCAUAAGCCACUUUCAUACCUGCCUACUGAUGUAUGGACUUCAGAAUAACGUGGCCUAUGUAUAUUUUCCAGGAUUGUUCUUUUGUUUGUUGUUUUUCACCCUUCCUCCCCCUAUUUUCUCUUCACAAGACAUGGGAGUUCACAGCCUUCUAAAAAUUAGCUUUCCUAAUAACUUGGGACUUACCUGUCUAGGAAUAAACCAUCCUAGCAUGAGCGAUCAGAUGAAAUCUGGGACCAAAGACUCAUUUUUCUUCUAAAAUGCUUUCUCCAAAAAAAAAUUUUUUUUAAAAAAAAGAAAAGGGGGCAAAUGUAAAGGAAAAUAUCUUGGGCCCCCAAAUCACUAAGUUAAAAGGAAAAUUCAAGCUAGGAACUACUUAAGACAAACUUGCCUCCCAUUCUAUUCAAAGUCAUCCCUCUGCUCAUUGAGAUAAAUGUGUAUCUGACUGCCUCCUUAGGAAAGGUAAAUCAGAAACUCAAAAGAAUGCAACCAUUUGUCUCCCACCUACCCGUGACCUGGAAGCCCCCUUCCCGCUUCAAGUUGUCCCGCCUUUCCGAACCCAACCAGUGUUCAUUUUACAUAUAUUGAUUGAUGUCUUAUAUGUCCCUAAAACGCAUAAAACCAAGCUGUGCUCUGACCACCUUGGGCACAUGUUGUCAGGACCUCCUGAGGCUGUGUCACUGCGUGCGCAUCCUCAACCUUGGCAAAAUAAACUUUCUAAAUUAACUGA